ACAGCCACGGUGAUUUAGGGAAGAGUCAUAUCAGCCUUGUCAGAAAGCUGACAUUGGCCUGGACCUUAAUUUAAAAAGGCAAUAAAUCAGCUGAGUAUCAAUAAAUAGUAAGCAAUUGAAUACUCUGCGCUAGAGCAGUGAAUCAGCCAGAGAAAACAAGGAAUGCUCUGUUCCCAUCCUGCCAUUCCUGAGCCUGGAGCACAGAGAUGGAAAGCUGAGGGAUGACUCGGCAGCAGCUGCAGGCGCUCAGCCUCUGUAGGGCAGCAGGGAGCUCGCAUUCUCUGCCGCACUGCAGACACAGCAGGAACGCUCCGGGAAGGAAAAAUACAUCCUGCAAACUCCCAGGAAAGGGAUGUCCAGUGCUUUCAGUGUGUCUCAAGGCAGGAUUAGCUUUAUUUGUACUGUUCCUGGAAGAUGUUUGUUUCACCUGCUCUGAAAACUCCCAGUGAGGGACACGGUACAAUCCUCAGCGUUGUCCUCACUCACAGUUACACAAGCAAGUCCUCCCGAGCUGGCUCUGAGCUGCAGGAUCAGCAUCACCUGGUGGGACAACGGUGCCUUGUCCCGGGUGGCCACUGAGCCACGGGGUUUGUUCCGGAGCCAAAUGACUGGAACAUUGUCCCUGCCUCCCCAACACCGCUGAGAAAUCAUC